rnacentral:lncRNA from 1 species
GACCUCAGGUUAUCCAUCUGCCUCAGCCUCCCAAAGUGCUGGGAUUACAGGUGUGAACAACUGUUCCCUGCCGAAUCUCUGAUUUUAAUAAGACCCCUGAGCAUCUUCCUGUCUCCCCCACUGCCCCAUGUGUUUUCCUCCUCUGAGCCUCAUUUGUCUGUAAAAUGGAUAUGAGAAAUCUACCUGGAAAGGCAGCUGGGGGGAUGAAGUGCGACAAUGUAUAUAAGCCUGUCGAGGGACACUUAAUCAGGGCUCCAGAGUGAUUAUGAUGGUCAUUAGGGUUAUGCUGUCUUGCAGGGCAACUCAUUGUCCCCAUUUGCCCAGGACAGAGGGGUUUCUUUGAAUGUGAGACUUUCAGUUUUGAAACUGGGAAAGGUCUCAGGUGAACCAGGAUGAGUUGGUUACCCUGCAUCCCCUUCUUUCUUUUCCCUGGGACAAAGAUCUUGCUUGCCUGCCCUGACCCCACUGUUCAGUAGGAAUCACUAAAUCUGGCACCACAACGGAAAGGCAGGGAACUCCAGGAACAAAAGGACCAACCAGUUUUGAAAAUACUAAGGACUGGCGUUUUCCUUCCAGCAGUGACGUGGUCUGUAUGUUAACCUUGUCCCACGGCACAGGUCACGUUGUGACACUCCACGACCUCUCAGCCCCACCCAUGUGCGUGGUGGGGCCAAGAAAGCCAUGUUGGCCACAGUCUGGCUUGUGUUUUCUCAGUUCUGGACACUCCAGACUAUACAUCUGAAUAUUCCUUUUGGUAGAGUCUAGGAGAUUUUAUUUAUUUAUUUUUUUUCUGCACUGAGUUCCUGGAUUUAUUUUGAGCCGAACGGCUCCUCACCCAAACUCCCCUGCCUCCUUUCAAAACCCAAGGCCACGUCCAACCUCACAGGCCCAAACCACGCUUACAUAACCCGCAGUGACACUAAGUGUUUGUGAGGCCUGCUGAAGUGGGGCUGGGGCUGCCUGCUCUGGAGCACAGGGGACAUUUUGUCCUGCAAAAUGAUGCUGUUUGGGGCGUGUGCGUGAGCGCGUGUUUUUCCCCUCCUGAAGUUCAAAAACAACUCCUUUUGCUCAAACUGUCAAAAAAGAGAAGAAGAAGAAAAAAAAGAAGAAGAAAGUCUGCAAUAAUUUCAGUGUUGGGCCCAGAUCAAGAAUUGCAAACACUAAGAUAAUAUUUUCCAAAGUUACCAGGCGAGUAGGAGUCGCCGAGUUACGGGAAAUUGGAGGCUGACCUGGUGUAACUUCCAGGGGCCCCGUCUCCUGGCUGCUUCCUCAACGGUGGUGGGCUUUUUCCUGUGAUCAUUACAGCUCACCGUGAUCUUGUCCUUACUACAUGCCAGGUUCCAGAGAGCUUUUCCUGACCACGCUGAGAGGGAGGUGUGACUACGGAAGAAUGGCUGGAGAGAGGCAACGCUGCUUGGCUUUGAAGAUGGAAGGAGAAAGCCAGGAGCUAAGGAAUGCAGUAACCUCCAGGAUCUGGAAGAGGCAAGAGGACAGGAGCUCCUCUAGAGUCUCUGGAAAGGAGCACAGCCCCAGCACCUCGAUUUUAGCCCAGUCUGACCCAUGGCUGCCUUCAGACCUCCGGAACUGUCAAUUCAUAAAUUGGUUUUGUUUUAAGCCUUA